GCUCUGAGGGCAUUGGCUCGGUCUGGGUUGAAAAUUUGGCGCAUUGAGGACGUUACACCAAUACCUACUGACAGCACCCGCAGAAAGGGUGGAAGAAGGGGUAGAAGGCUGUAAGCUGUCUCCCAUCAUAGCAGUUCCAUUAUGGGUGGUGGUGCUUUGAUUGCUUGGUGACGGUUCUUUUCAAUCCGGGAUGUUUUUGUAGUUUUUAUUAUCCUAUCAGGAGUUGUUGACUUUGAAUUUAUAUUUAAGCUUUGUAGAAACAUAAAGAUAUGAUGGAGUUUUGCUUGUGACUUUGAUGUUCUAAAUGAGGUCGUUACCUGUAUUGAAGUAAUAUUUUUUUUUACAUGCCAUUGCAAAGAUAGUCAUUUGCUGAAAAUUAUCUAUAA